GCGGCUUCUAUGAGGAAGGCGACGCAAAGGAGGCUCGAGGGCUUGUUAAGGAAGGCGGCUAGGGCCGCUGAAGGGGGAAAACGAAAGGCGUUUUCUGGUCUCCCCUUCGCCUGGGGGUGCUUGUGGGGGGGGUGUGCCACGACGAAACAAGGGAAUGAAAGGUCGCUUUGCGUUGGAUGCUCUUUACCCUCCCCACUAUGAGGGCUCUGUUGUCUUGGGGAGCGUUGAAGCCUGCUUCUUUUCCAUAC
rnacentral:lncRNA from 1 species